rnacentral:lncRNA from 1 species
ACAAAUGAAGGACUAGGAGAGCUUAUAUAGUGCUCAGAAAUAUCUAAACAAAAUGUUCAUAAAGUAAAAAAGAAAGGAAACAAAUCUCCAAAGACACAAUAUCGGAAACUAGCCGUGGAGUGAUUGUGGGGAUUUGGCUUGCAAAGGAGGAGCUUGAAUAAUCUUGAACCUGGACGGUUUUAAGGCUGAGCUUCUUUGGAAUCAUCUUUACUGCUUGGAAGGUGCUGAUCACGUCCAGAAAUGAAUGAGAAAAAAGCUGUUGGAGUUAGAAUGCUUGAAACUCCAAAUAAGGCAAGUGUGGCCAUAAAUAGAUCCUCCUGAUCAUGUGGGCUUUGGUGCAUGGCAAGAACUCUUCAACUCCUCCUGGAUCACUGUAUAUACUUCUCAUAUUCUUAGAAACAUCUCCUGGUCGCCAUUGUUUGGUUUGACUAAGAUUGAACCGGUGAGACUCCAAAUUAGGCAAUUGCAGAACUGGUUUGACCGGUUUAGGUAAUUGGACCAUAACUCCAUAUUUCCGUGGACUUUUCUCCUCAUUAUCGGCUUGUUGGAAAGUUAAGAGAUCCAUAUUGAAGUCCAUGAGUUGUUUUGGGGCGGAAAUCUUCUUCAUUGGGCUUGAAACAACUUCUAAACUCGGA